rnacentral:lncRNA from 1 species
UUAGUAAGCAUCCAAAAAUAACUUUAAAAUAAAUAUAUAUAAAGGUCUCUUACGUACAAUAUUCUCAUCCAACACAUCGAUCGCGAUUCAUUGGCAGUAAAAUACAAACAAGUUAAACUCUCGCGUCAAUCUAAAAGUAUGAGGUUGAUAUCGGUAAAAGUGGUUUUCCUUUUCUUGCUUUUCUUAUCGUCCCUUUUUCUUGUAAACUAUUGUAAAGAAAUCUAUGAAGAUGACAAAUCAAUAAUGGAAUCAAUACCUAACUGGGUAAAAUCCGUGGAGAAAUAUAUCAUCGCAGGUUUGAACAUAUUCCAAGAUUACGCAGCAAAAGAAACUAGACAAAAGGUCAAAGACGUUUACGAAGAAUGCAAGACAGAUUACAAAAAUAUUUUGAGCAAUAUCAAGAAAGUAAAAAGAGAUAUUGUCAAGAAAAAAUUCAAAGAUGCUGAAAUUCAAGUGAAGCAAGCAAUUUCUAGUGCAGAAGAUUGCUCUAAUGGUUUGAAAAAAGUCUCGGAUGAAUCACCAGAGAAGGUUAAACGUAUAAGUGCUCUAGUAGUCGAAAUUCUCGAAUAUUUACUUAAAAAGAUUAUGAAAUUAGAAUAAAUGCAGGAUCACAUUUCCAUCUACAUAUGUGAUAAAAAGAUACAAUCAUGUUUUAGCUUAAAUAAAUUUUUAUUACUUUAUUUACUUUUAUUUUUUUUGUAAUUUCAAUUUUUUUAAUGGAAUAUAAUAUAAAUUGCUUUUCAAUUAUAAAGUAUAAUAAAAACAGAAAUCAGGAUUGAAGAAGAUCUGCUUAUUCAUAUUAUACCUUAUUUUCUAUAUUUCUUAAAUUCUUUAAUUCCUGAAGUGCCAAAAAUAUAUUAGAACAUAUAUAGAUUACAAUACCUACACAAUUAAACAAACACAUUUUAAAAUGCGACACGUAAUUUAAAUGAAAUCCGAACAUUUUGACGUGACGGUACAAAAUGGAUAGAAAGAACUGGUUGUAAAAUACGCUAUUUAUUUUUCGAUAUCUGGGUGCCCAAAUCGUUGACACAAAUAUCUGAAAUAUUAGACAACUUUGUCUUAUAUAUUCUUCGACCAUCCAAUUAGUGUUAGUGCUGAUUCUUUUCUAAUUAUUAUUAAUCGUAACAAUGUCGUGACUGAUCUAAUAAUGUCGUUAGUCUGAUUGUUUUUUAGUUAAUUAACUAUUUAUUAUAUCGGUCUUAGUUAUUUCGAGUUCGUUUGGGAGUGAGGAACCAAGAGGCAGUCGCAGGUAAAAUAUUUGACGAACGGAGAUCGAAAACUGCAUUGAAGAGAGGUACACCCGCACCAAAUAAUUAUUGAAAUUAUAAACAAAACAAAAAAAAUGAAGGAAAGAAGAGAAGGAGUCUGACAUAGAAGAUAUAAAAAAAUAAAAUAGACUUUAACAUUUGUUACAGACGGAGUGAGACUUUGACAUAUCUCAUGAUGAUUGAGGCUGGAAUCGAUGGGUGAAGUUAGGGAUUUGAGAAUUUGGGAAUGGAAAUUUGGAAAUAACAUUUUGGAGUUUAAGAUUUUAUAGGAUUUAAAAAUUUAGGAUCUUAGACGUUAUGGGGUUAUUUAUAAAAAUAAAUUAUUGGGUAUAUUAUUAAUGGACGUGUUUCAGGUGCGUCUUACUUUGAAUGCGUUGUCGUACCUCAUCAAAUCCUAUUCGUUAAUAUUUAAUCCAAUGAUUAAAAUAAUAAAUUACACAAAACAUUAUCACAUGUACGACGUAAAAUAAUAUACUGCAAAAUAUAUUAACACAUGUACGACGAAAGGACGAUUUAAUAGACAAGAUUAAUUUGACGCAUUUUGACCACACACAUUAUUAAUAUCCCUCCUAUAGAAAAUUUUUAACAUAUUAAACUGACCCUAGACAACCUGAUAUAGUUAUAUUAUACAUAUAUCCAAAUUUUUAUUUUUAUUUAAUUUUUAACCCUAUGGGUGCCAUGGACAUGGGUCGGGCAUGUGUAGGUCCAUCCUUGAUCUUAAGUUAUAAUGAAAAACAAGCUUACUGUGUUCUUUAGGUAACCAAUUACAUAGUCGUGGAUAUCUUCAGAACUGUUUUGUUAAUACAUUGGCUUACUGAUCGGACGCUCGGAGGUCGACGACGGCAGAGGACCGUCGUGGACCAAGAUUGUCAGGUGAGGCUCGUCGGACUAAAGUAAGGUUUCUAAACCUAAUCUAAAUUUUAAUAUUAUUGUGGGAUCUUCGGUUAGGGCAAGAGGUAGUCGUGGAGAGAAAAUUAGGGCAUCAUGGGGGAGAUGGAAGGGGUUCGGCGGACGAACACAGUGAUUCCUUAAUUUAUCCAUUAAUUGUUAUCUUCCAUUUCAUAAUUAAUUAUACCCUUUUUUUCCUUUUGUUACUAAGUCCUUGAUCUAAAUAAAAAAAAAUAGAAAAACAUAAUUUUUAUUUUAUCAUGGAUUAAAAAAUAAUCCUUUAGGUCAUCGAAGAUCAACCAAUGCAUCCCGUAAAAAGCGAAUUAAACAUAUAUUUAUAGGAAUAUCUCUUUUUUUGAAUCAAUUAAAUUUCAUUAAAAUAAGGCUAAUACCAAGUUUACAAAAAAUAGAGCAGCCUCACACUUAUUAGUAAGCAUCCAAAAAUAACUUUAAAAUAAAUAUAAAGGUCUCUUACAAUAUUCUCAUCCAAUACAUCGAUCACAAUUCAUUAGCUGUAAAAUACAAACAAGUUAAACUCUCGUGUCAAACUAAAAGCAUGAGGUUGAUAUCGAUAAAAGUGGUUUUCUUUUUCUUGCUUUUCUUAUCAUCCUUUUUUCUUGUAAACUAUUGUAAAGAAAUCUCUGAAGAUGACAAAUCAAUAAUGGAAUCAAUACCUAACUGGGUAAAAUCCGUGGAGAAAUAUGUCAUCGCAGGUUUGAAUAUAUUCCAAGAUUACGCAGCAAAAGAAACUAGACAAAAGGUCAGAGACGCUUACGAAGAAUGCAAGAAAGAUUACAAAAAUAUUUUGAGCAAUAUCAAGAAAGUAAAAAGAGAUAUUGUCAAGAAAAAAUUCAAAGAUGCUGAAAUUCAAGUGAAGCAAGUGUUAGAAAAUGAUGAUCCAACGUGUUUGUUGUUGGUGGGAGGAUUGGAGGUUGUUGCAGAGGAAUCGCCAUCGCAGAUUUUAUGGGAAGAAAAGAAAACUAUUUUGAUUGAUUGCAUUUAGUUGCACAAUUGAUUCCAAUUUAUAUACAAUGGUGGAUGAUUCUAG